GCUGGGUGUGGUGGCGCACACCUGUAAUUCCAGCUACUUGGGAGGCUGAGGCAGGAGAAUCGCUUGAACCCAGGAGGCCGAGAUUGUAGUGAGCCGAGAUGGCGCCACUGCACUCUAGCCUGGAGGACAGAGUGAGACUCCAUCUCAA
rnacentral:SRP_RNA from 2 species